AUUGAACGCUGGCGGCAUGCCUUACACAUGCAAGUCGAACGGCAGCACGGGAGCAAUCCUGGUGGCGAGUGGCGAACGGGUGAGUAAUAUAUCGGAACGUGCCCGGUCGUGGGGGAUAACGUAGCGAAAGCUACGCUAAUACCGCAUACGAUCUACGGAUGAAAGCGGGGGAUCGCAAGACCUCGCGCGAUUGGAGCGGCCGAUAUCAGAUUAGGUAGUUGGUGAGGUAAAGGCUCACCAAGCCGACGAUCUGUAGCUGGUCUGAGAGGACGACCAGCCACACUGGGACUGAGACACGGCCCAGACUCCUACGGGAGGCAGCAGUGGGGAAUUUUGGACAAUGGGCGCAAGCCUGAUCCAGCAAUGCCGCGUGCAGGAUGAAGGCCUCGGUUGUAAC
rnacentral:rRNA from 1 species